AUUUUUUAAAAUAAAAGAGUUUCUAGGCCGAGUGUGGUGGCUCACGCCUGUAAUCCCUGCACUUUGGAAGGCUGAGGCAGGCACAUCACCAGAGGUCAGGAGGUCGAGACCAGCCUGGCCAACAUGGCAAAACUCCGUCUCUAAAAAAUUACAAAAGUUAGCCGGGCGUGGUGGCGGGCAUCUGUAGUCCCAGCCACUCAGGAGGCUGAAGCAAAAGAAUCGCUUCAACCCAGGAGGCAGGGCGUCCCAAAGUGCUGGGAUUACAGACGUGAGCCACCACACCCGGCCGCAGUUUUAUAAAUUUAUUUGACAGUAACUUUCGUCAUCAGUUUGAUUAUUGACAUUUGUAUGAUUUCCAAUAUAUUUCUUACAAGAUGAGCUAGAAUUGGCUACAAUAACAUACGCAGUUUGCUAA
rnacentral:lncRNA from 1 species